CCUACGGGUGGCAGCAGUGGGGAAUAUUGCACAAUGGGGGAAACCCUGAUGCAGCGACGCCGCGUGAGUGAAGAAGUAUUUCGGUAUGUAAAGCUCUGUCAGCAGGGAAGAAAAUGACGGUACCUGACCAAGAAGCCCCGGCUAACUACGUUCCAGCAGCCGCGGUAAUACGUAGGGGGCAAGCGUUAUCCGGAUUUACUGGGUGUAAAGGGAGCGUAGACGGCAGGGCAAGUCUGGAGUGAAAGGCGGGGGCUCAACCCCAGGACUGCUAUGGAAACUGCCAGGCUGGAGUGCAGUAGAGGUAAGUGGAAUUCCUAGUGUAGCGGUGAAAUGCGUAGAUAUUACGAGGAACACCAGUGGCGAAGGCGGCUUACUGGACUGUCACUGACAUUGAGGCUCGAAAGCGUGGGGAGCAAACAGGAUUAGAUACCCCUGUAGUC
rnacentral:rRNA from 1 species